GGGGUUGUGGCUCAGUGGUAGAGAGCUCACCUAGCAUGUGUGAGGCCCUGGGUUCAAUUCUCAGCACCACA
rnacentral:tRNA from 1 species